CUGGAUUUCAGCUUCUCUCUAACGGACUGUCUAGUCCCCACUGCAAACUGCAGACAGUAAGACUUGCUGAAUGUACUCUCACAGAUAAGUCCUGUGGAAUUGUGGCUACAGUUCUUCAGUCACCAAACUCUCUGACAGAGCUGGAUCUGUGUAACAAUGACCUGGGAGAUUCUGGAAUUCAGCUUCUCUCUAACGGACUGUCUAGUCCUCACUGCAAACUGCAGACAUUAAGGUUGGUGUUAUACAUGUCCUUAUUGUCAUGAAUUUUUGGAUUAUUUCUGUAGCCCUUAACUAUGAUUUAUAUUAGUAGUACGCUGGAAACUGUGAGGACAACUCAGCACCACUUUUAUUUUCCUCUACCCUUUCAUUUCUAUUGAUUUCUCAGGACACUUUGUGAACAGCAUCACCUUUCAUUUUAAAGUAAUAUUUAGUCUUUUAUUAUGCUGUUAUACAGACUUUCUGAAUGCACACUAUUAGAUAAAUCCUGUUUCCUCCUACCCCUUCAACUCCUAAAAUGGAGGAUGAUAGAUCUAUGGGAACUGAUGCAUUUUCAGUUUAGUCAGGACCACUCUCAUCUAGUAACAAUUUACAAGUAAUUAGAGUAUUGAGAGGAUACAUCA